rnacentral:pre_miRNA from 1 species
CUGUUACUCCCCCCGUCCCAAAAUUCUUGUCUUAAAUUUGUCUAGAUACAGAUGUAUCUAAUACUAAAACGUGACUUGAUACAUCCAUAUUUAGACAAAUCUAAGACAAGAAUUUUAGGACGGAGGGAGUACUUG